rnacentral:rRNA from 1 species
AUUGAACGCUGGCGGCAGGCCUAACACAUGCAAGUCGAGCGGAUGAAGGGUUCUUUCUCCUGGAUUCAGCUUCGGACGGGUGUGUAAUGCCUAUGAAUCUGCCUGUUUUUUUUGUAUAACGUCCUUAAACGGGCGCUAAUACCGCAUACGUCCUGUUCUUGAAAGUUGGUGAUCUUCGGACCUCUCGCUAUCUGAUUAGCCUAGGUCGUAUUAGCUAGUUGGUUUGGGAAAGUCCUACCUAGGCGACGAUCCGUAACUGGUCUGAGAGGAUGAUCAGUCACACUGGAAGAGAGACACGGAACAGAAACCUACGGGAGGAAGCAGUGGGGAAUAUUGGACAAUGGGCGAAAGCAUGAUACAGCAAAGCCGCGUGUGAGAAGAAGGACUUAGGAUUGGAAAGAACGGUAAGUUGGGAGGAAGGGAAGUAAGUUAAUAAGUAGCUGUAUUGACGUUAACAAGAGAAUAAGCACCGGCUAACUACGUG